rnacentral:rRNA from 1 species
AUGGUUAGAGUGUAGGCUUUGCCUGCUAUCUCUUACCCAUGUCUUUUAAGUACCUUACGUUUCCUCGGCGGGUCCGCCCGCCGAUUGGACAAUUUAAACCAUUUGCAGUUGCAAUCAGCGUCUGAAAAAACUUAAUAGUUACAACUUUCAACAACGGAUCUCUUGGUUCUGGCAUCGAUGAAGAACGCAGCGAAAUGCGAUAAGUAGUGUGAAUUGCAGAAUUCAGUGAAUCAUCGAAUCUUUGAACGCACAUUGCGCCCCUUGGUAUUCCAUGGGGCAUGCCUGUUCGAGCGUCAUUUGUACCUUCAAGCUCUGCUUGGUGUUGGGUGUUUGUCUCGCCUCUGCGUGUAGACUCGCCUCAAAACAAUUGGCAGCCGGCGUAUUGAUUUCGGAGCGCAGUACAUCUCGCGCUUUGCACUCAUAACGACGACGUCCAAAAGUACAUUUUUACACUCUUGACCUCGGAUCAGGUAGGGAUACCCGCUGAACUUAAGCAUAUCAAUAGGCCGGAGGAA